rnacentral:rRNA from 1 species
UACAGAGGGGGCAAGCGUUGUUCGGAAUUACUGGGCGUAAAGGGCGCGUAGGCGGCCCGCUAAGUCGAACGUGAAAUCCCUGGGCUCAACCCAGGAACUGCGUCCGAUACUGGCGGGCUUGAAUCCGGGAGAGGGAUGUGGAAUUCCAGGUGUAGCGGUGAAAUGCGUAGAUAUCUGGAGGAACACCGGUGGCGAAGGCGGCAUCCUGGACCAAUUCUGACGCUGAGGAGCGAAAGUCAGGGGAGCAAACGGG